CAGCUCUUCAAGUGGUCGGGAAUAUUAUUGGGCUUAAAGUUUCCGUAGCCGGUUUGAUAAGUUCCUGGUUAAAUCUGGCAGCUUAACUGUCAGUUGGCUAGGAAUACUAUCUUACUAGAGGGUGGGAAAGGUCUGGGGUACUCCAGGGGUAGCGGUGAAAUGCUAUAAUCCUUGGGGGACCACCAGUGGCGAAGGCGCCAGACUGGAACACGCCUGACGGUGAGGGACGAAAGCCAGGGGAGCGAACGGGAUUAGAGACCCGAGUAGUCC
rnacentral:rRNA from 1 species